rnacentral:rRNA from 1 species
AUACGUAGGGUGCAAGCGUUAAUCGGAAUUACUGGGCGUAAAGCGUGCGCAGGCGGUUUUGUAAGACAGUGGUGAAAUCCCCGGGCUCAACCUGGGAAAUGCCAUUGUGACUGGAAGGCUGGAGUGCGGCAGAGGGGGAUGGAAUUCCGCGUGUAGCAGUGAAAUGCGUAGAUAUGCGGAGGAACACCGAUGGCGAAGGCAAGCCCCUGGGCCUGCACUUACGCUCAUGCACGAAAGCGUGGGGAGCAAACAGGAUUAGAUUCCCUGGUAGUCCACGCCCUAAACGAUGUCAACUGGUUGUUGGGGAUUUAUUUUCUCAGUAACGAAGCUAACGCGUGAAGUUGACCGCCUGGGGAGUACGGCCGCAAGGUUAAAACUUAAAUGAAUUGACGGGG